rnacentral:piRNA from 1 species
UCCAUCUCAUGAUUGGGGUCCCAUUUACGGU